ACAGUUCCCAAGUCUGGAUGCUGCCACACCCUUUGAUCCACACAUACCUCUUCUUUUCGCGUCAUUUCGUUGCCUCCUCUCCACCACUUCUCGCUCUGCUACAAAUUGAUGCCAAAAACUCAAAAGAACGAACGGAUAAAAAUGUUGAACUGUUCUCUGGAUAAAAAUUGCUCUGGGCAUCCAGUUCUCUCACGUGGCUCCCGUUCCUGACACCUUCAGAAUUCUCCACCAAAUGGGUGUUGUUUUGAUGUUCAGAGGCCAAAUGCUCGUCGUCAAGAUGAGAAUUUUUCCUCUAAGUUACACAAAAUUUCGCUGGUUCUUUGUUGUUUCAUUCAUCUGUGAGCAUGUUUGAGAAUUGAAGUGAAUUGUGAAUCUUGGUUGAAAAAGUUACCUGAGAGAGAUUUUGGCAUAGGUGUGUGUAAGAGGAUGGAGUACUUCAUCCCCGAGGCAAGUCCUUUUACACAAAUUUGUGUGAAAUACAUAGUUGUAUACGGAGUUUUUUUGUAAACGAAGCUAAAAGUACAACUGUCUUUUUGUACUUUUUAUUUUUAAAUGUGAUUUAAGUCCUAUGAUGGGAGUGAAGGUCUGAAAUUGCUGAAAAUAUACAUAGCUACAUCUA